rnacentral:rRNA from 1 species
GAUGAACGCUGGCGGCGUGCUUAAGACAUGCAAGUCGAACGGAGUGUGUAGCAAUACUCACUAAGUGGCGAAUGGGUGAGUAACACGUAGGUGACCUGCCCUGAAGUGCGGAAUAACAGUCCGAAAGGAUUGCUAAUACCGCAUGCGGUCCCGGGCGUUAGAGAACCGGGUCGUAAAGACAGUAAUGCGCUUCAGGAGGGGCCGU